rnacentral:tRNA from 1 species
UACAUAAACAUAUAAAUAAAAAAUAACAAAAUUUUCUUUACUUUUUUAC